rnacentral:rRNA from 1 species
ACUUCCAGAAUAGCUUAGCUACGGCGAGUGAAGCGGCAAAAGCUCAAAUUUGAAAUCUGGCACCUUCGGUGUCCGAGUUGUAAUUUGAAGAAGGUAACUUUGGAGUUGGCUCUUGUCUAUGUUCCUUGGAACAGGACGUCACAGAGGGUGAGAAUCCCGUGCGAUGAGAUGCCCAAUUCUAUGUAAAGUGCUUUCGAAGAGUCGAGUUGUUUGGGAAUGCAGCUCUAAGUGGGUGGUAAAUUCCAUCUAAAGCUAAAUAUUGGCGAGAGACCGAUAGCGAACAAGUACAGUGAUGGAAAGAUGAAAAGAACUUUGAAAAGAGAGUGAAAAAGUACGUGAAAUUGUUGAAAGGGAAGGGCUUGAGAUCAGACUUGGUAUUUUGCGAUCCUUUCCUUCUUGGUUGGGUUCCUCGCAGCUUACUGGGCCAGCAUCGGUUUGGAUGGUAGGAUAAUGACUAAGGAAUGUGGCUCUACUUCGGUGGAGUGUUAUAGCCUUGGUUGAUACUGCCUGUCUAGACCGAGGACUGCGUCUUUUGACUAGGAUGUUGGCAUAAUGAUCUUAAGCCACCCGUCUGAAAUAGAAACACAAAAAAAACUUUGCCCUUCUUUUUGACUUAAGGGAAUGGUUGGGGCAUUAAAUGGAUCUUUAAAACCCCACCCUCUCUUGACAAACCCCGGCAACACUACAUAAAUGU